GACAGAGGGUGCGAACGUUGUUCGGAAUUACUGGGCGUAAAGGGCGCGUAGGCGGCGUGUUAAGUCAGCUGUGAAAUCUCCGAGCUUAACUCGGAACGGUCAGCUGAUACUGAUGUGCUAGAGUGCAGAAGGGGCAAUCGGAAUUCUUGGUGUAGCGGUGAAAUGCGUAGAUAUCAAGAGGAACACCUGAGGUGAAGACGGGUUGCUGGGCUGACACUGACGCUGAGGCGCGAAAGCCAGGGGAGCAAACGGG
rnacentral:rRNA from 1 species